GAGUAAUGCAUUCGGAAUCUUCCCAGUACGUGGGGAAUAACCGAGUCGAAAGAUUGGCUAAUACCCGCAUACGUCUCGUAACAUGGGAAACGCGGGGGCUCCGUCAACGACCUCGCGCUAUUCGGAUUGAGCCAAUGUCAGCGAUUACGCUAGUUCGGUCGGGGUUAAUCGGCCUACCAACGGCGACAAUGCCCGUAGCUCGGUCUUGAUGAGGACGACCAGCCACACCUGGAACUGAGACACGGUCCGGACUCAUAACGGGAGGCAGCAGUGGGGAAUAUUGGACAAUGGGGGAAACCCUGAUCCAGCGACGCCGCGUGUGUGAAGAAGGCCUGCGGGUUGUAAAGCACUUUUAGUGGGGACAAAAAGCUACGGACUAAUAUUCUGUGGUCUUGAUUUAACCCAAAGAAAAAGCACCGGCUAACUCUGUGCCAGCAGCCGCGGUAAUACAGAGGGUGCGAGCGUUAAUCGGAAUUACUGGGCGUAAAGGGCGCGUAGGCGGACAGUUCAGUCGGGGGUGAAAGGCCAGGGGGCUCAACCCCGGAACUGGCCUUCGAUACUGAGGAUCUUGAGUUCGGGAGAGGUUGACGUGGAACUGG
rnacentral:rRNA from 1 species